ACAGAGAGAGAGAGAGAGAGAGAGAGAGAGAGAACUACCAGGUCCCUUGACCAGCUUCCCCUGGGUCAUGGUGUUCUAGGAUCCAACAGAGAUGCCAAUUCAGGUUCUUAAUACUCCUCAAAUGUCCACAGUGGGAAUAACCCAACGGAUUCGGCAGAGCUGACCUGCAGCCCCAGAAAUGCUUCCUGAAGCGGAGAGCUGGAGGGGAUGAGGGGAAUCCAGCAUGAAGACAAGGGGGCACCUGCCUGUUCAUCAACUGGGAGUUCCAUCAUGAAAGCUAAUCGAGUAUUCGCCAAGCUAAUGAGGAACGGUUGAGCCAUACACAGAAAUCUAGUGGGUGGCUGUGGACCAAUUCCAUCUCA
rnacentral:lncRNA from 1 species